rnacentral:rRNA from 1 species
UACGUAGGGUGCGAGCGUUGUCCGGAAUUAUUGGGCGUAAAGAGCUCGUAGGCGGUCUGUCGCGUCUGCUGUGAAAACCCGAGGCUCAACCUCGGGCCUGCAGUGGGUACGGGCAGACUAGAGUGCGGUAGGGGAGAAUGGAAUUCCUGGUGUAGCGGUGAAAUGCGCAGAUAUCAGGAGGAACACCGGUGGCGAAGGCGGCCUGCUGGGCUAUGGCUGACACUGAGGCGCGACAGCGUGGGGGAGCAAACAGG